rnacentral:sRNA from 1 species
GUUGGGUGCAGUGGUGCACACCUGUAAUCCCAGCUAUUCAGGAGGCUGGGGCAGGAGGAUUGCAAGUUGGAAGCCAUCUGGGUAAUAUAGCAAGAUCAUGUCUUUA